rnacentral:lncRNA from 1 species
UACUAACAUAGAAUGAUGCCAAAUGUUAGUAAAAACAUGACAACCAUAAUAACGGUUAUUUUAGCAAAUCAUAUUACUUAAAAACAUAUCAACUGCUAAUUUUUAACAAACCAAUAGUUGUAUUAAAAACAUGAAUCAUUUAUUUUUUUUAAGAUUAUACCAACUGUUAUUCAAACCAAAAAUAAUAUUCAUCAAAACAUGAAU